rnacentral:rRNA from 1 species
AUUGAACGCUGGCGGCAGGCCUAACACAUGCCAGUCGAGCGGAUGAAGGGAGCUUGCUCCUGGAUUCAGCGGCGGACGGGUGAGUAAUGCCUAGGAAUCUGCCUGGUAGUGGGGGAUAACGUCCGGAAACGGGCGCUAAUACCGCAUACGUCCUGAGGGAGAAAGUGGGAGAUCUUCGGACCUCACGCUAUCAGAUGAGCCUAGGUCGGAUUAGCUAGUUGGUGGGGUAAAGGCCUACCAAGGCGACGAUCCGUAACUGGUCUGAGAGGAUGAUCAGUCACACUGGAACUGAGACACGGUCCAGACUCCUACGGGAGGCAGCAGUGGGGAAUAUUGGACAAUGGGCGAAAGCCUGAUCCAGCCAUGCCGCGUGUGUGAAGAAGGUCUUCGGAUUGUAAAGCACUUUAAGUUGGGAGGAAGGGCAGUAAGUUAAUACCUUGCUGUUUUGACGUUACCAACAGAAUAAGCACCGGCUAACUUCGUG